CUAUGCGCCUUGCCAGCCCGCUCAGGUGUGCCAGCCGCCGCGGUAAUACGUAGGGGCAAGCGUUAUCCGGAUUUACUGGGUGUAAAGGGAGCGUAGGCGGCAAGGUAAGCCAGAAGUGAAAGCCCGCGGCUCAACUGCGGGACUGCUUUUGGAACUAUCUAGCUAGAUUGCAGGAGAGGUAAGUGGAAUUCCUAGUGUAGCGGUGAAAUGCGUAGAUAUUAGGAGGAACACCAGUGGCGAAGGCGGCUUACUGGACUGUAAAUGACGCUGAGGCUCGAAAGCGUGGGGGAGCAAACAGG
rnacentral:rRNA from 1 species